GAGCAAUGAUGAAAAGGUUUAACUACUGACCUUUUAUAACUAUGAAGGUUUCUACACUUGAUCUGAGCUCA